GAUUAGAUUUUAUUUAUUAAUUUUGUUUAUUUAUUUAAUUUAUUUAAUAAAAAUAAUUUUAAAAUUUUAAGUUUAAGUAUUUUAUAAAGAAAAAAUAAUUUUAAUUAUAGUUUAUUUGUAUUGUAAAAGAAAAUUGAAAUAAUUUGAAAAAUUUUUAUUUUAAAAGAAAAUUUAAUUUAUUGUACCUUGUGUAUCAGGGUUUAUUAAAUAAAAAAUUAUUAUAUUAAUUUUUCUCGAAUUUUAAAGAUUUAAUUAUAUAUAAAAGUUACUGUGGAAUAAUUAUUUUUAAUAUAUAAUUAGAAAUGAAAUGUUAAUCGUUUUAAAAUAUAUCUAGUUUUUUAAGAAAUAAAUUUAAUUUAGACUUAUAAAUUUAAAUUAUUUAAUUAAUAUAAAUAAUUUAAUUUAUAAGAUUAAUAUUUUAAGGGAUUAGCUUUAAAAUAAAUUUUUAAAUUUUAAAUUAAUUAUUUAAUAAAUAUAAGCUUAAAAAUAGCUAUUAUUAAUAAAUUUGUUAUAAUUUAUUUUAAAAAUUUAAUUAUUUAUUAUAAAAUUAAAUUAUUUAUUAAAAUAUAAAUUUUAAUAAUAAAAAUUUAUAAAUUAUGAUAAAAUUAGUAUAUAAAAUUUUUAUAAAUAAUUAUUUAUGAAAGGUUUAAAUAAGGAAUUCGGCAAAAUAUAUAUUCACCUGUUUAUCAAAAACAUGUCUUUUUGAAUUAAAUUUAAAGUCUAACCUGCCCACUGAUAUAAAUUAAAGGGCCGCAGUAUUUUGACUGUGCGAAGGUAGCAUAAUCACUAGUCUUUUAAUUGGAGGCUUGUAUGAAUGGUUGAAUGAGAUAUAUACUGUCUUUUUUAAAAUUAUAUAGAAUUUUAUUUUUUAAUUAAAAAGUUAAAAUAAAAUUAAAGGACGAGAAGACCCUAUAGAUCUUUAUUUUUGUUAUUUAUAAAUUAAAAAGAAUUUUAAAAUUUAUAAUUUAAUAAAAAAUUUUAUUGGGGUGAUAUUAAAAUUUAAAAAACUUUUAAAAUUUAUUAACAUAAAUAUAUGAAUAAAUGAUCCAGUUUUAUUGAUUAAAAAUUUAAGUUACCUUAGGGAUAACAGCGUAAUUUUUUUUUAGAGUUCAUAUCGACAAAAAAGAUUGCGACCUCGAUGUUGGAUUAAGAGUUAUUUUUAAGUGUAGAAGUUAAAGUUUAGGUCUGUUCGACCUUUGAAUUCUUACAUGAUCUGAGUUCAAACCGGCGUAAGCCAGGUUGGUUUUCUAUCCUUUAAUUAAUUAUUAUAUUAUAGUACGAAAGGACCUAAUAUAAAAAAAUAUAGAUUUUAAUGAUAUGAUUAAUAUUAAUAUUAAA
rnacentral:rRNA from 1 species